GACGAACGCUGGCGGCGUGCUUAACACAUGCAAGUCGAACGGUAAGGCCCUUCGGGGUACACGAGUGGCGAACGGGUGAGUAACACGUGGGUGAUCUGCCCUGCACUUCGGGAUAAGCCUGGGAAACUGGGUCUAAUACCGGAUAGGACCCUGGGAUGCAUGUCCUGGGGUGGAAAGCUUUUGCGGUGUGGGAUGGGCACGCGGCCUAUCAGCUUGUUGGUGGGGUGAUGGCCUACCAAGGCGAAGACGGGUAGCCGGGCUGAGGGGGUGACCGGCCACACUGGGACUGAGAUACGGCCCAUACUCCUACGGGAGGCAGCAGUGGGGAAUAUUGCACAAUGGGCGCAAGCCUGAUGCAGCGACGCCGCGUGAGGGAUGACGGCCUUCGGGUUGUAAACCUCUUUCAGCACCGGCGAAGCGCAAGUGACGGUAGGUGCAGAAGAAGGACCGGCCAACUACGUGCCAGCCGCCGCGGUAA
rnacentral:rRNA from 1 species